rnacentral:misc_RNA from 1 species
UCCGAGUUGACCCCGGCAGUCUCCCAUGAGUCCCCGGCAUCACCCGCUGGCAACAUGGAACGAGGGUUGCGCUCGUUGCGGGACUUAACCCAACAUCUCACGACACGAGCUGACGACGGCCAUGCAGCACCUGUGUUCUGGCUCUCUUUCGAGCACUUCCAAAUCUCUUCGGAAUUCCAGACAUGUCAAGGGUAGGUAAGGUUUUUCGCGUUGCAUCGAAUUAAACCACAUCAUCCACCGCUUGUGCGGGUCCCCGUCAAUUCCUUUGAGUUUCAGCCUUGCGGCCGUACUCCCCAGGCGGGGCACUUACUGCGUUAGCGACGGCACCGGGAGGGUCGCUCCCCCCGACGCCUAGUGCCCAUCGUUUACGGCGUGGACUAC